rnacentral:rRNA from 1 species
CCUACGUGAGGCAGCAGUGAGGAAUAUUGGUCAAUGGCCGGAAGGCUGAACCAGCCAAGCCGCGUGAAGGACGAAGGUGCCAAGCAUUGUAAACUUCUUUUGUCAAGGGACAAAAUCAGGCUCGAGAGCCUGACCGAGGGUACUUGAAGAAAAAGCAUCGGCUAACUCCGUGCCAGCAGCCGCGGUAAUACGUAUGGUGCAAGCGUUAUCCGGAUUUACUGGGGGUAAAGGGAGCGCAGGCGGCACGGCAAGCCUGAUGUGAAAGCCCGCGGCCCAACCGCGGGACUGCAUUGGGAACUACCGGGCUGGAGUGCCGGAGAGGUAGGCGGAAUUCCUAGUGUAGCGGUGAAAUGCGUAGAUAUUAGGAGGAACACCAGUGGCGAAGGCGGCCUACUGGACGGUGACUGACGCUGAGGCUCGAAAGCGUGGGGAGCAAACAGGAUUAGAUACCCCAGUAGUC